AUUGAUGAUGCUGUUG
rnacentral:sRNA from 1 species